rnacentral:rRNA from 1 species
GACGAACGCUGGCGGCGUGCUUAGCACAUGCAAGUCGAACGGAAAGGCCCUGCUUUUGUGGGGUGCUCGAGUGGCGAACGGGUGAGUAACACGUGAGUAACCUGCCCUUGACUUUGGGAUAACUUCAGGAAACUGGGGCUAAUACCGGAUAGGAGCUCCUGCUGCAUGGUGGGGGUUGGAAAGUUUCGGCGGUUGGGGAUGGACUCGCGGCUUAUCAGCUUGUUGGUGGGGUAGUGGCUUACCAAGGCUUUGACGGGUUGCCGGCCUGAGAGGGUGACCGGCCACAUUGGGACUGAGAUACGGCCCAGACUCCUACGGGAGGCAGCAGUGGGGAAUAUUGCACAAUGGGCGGAAGCCUGAUGCAGCAACGCCGCGUGCGGGAUGACGGCCUUCGGGUUGUAAACCGCUUUCGCCUGUGACGAAGCGUGAGUGACGGUAAUGGGUAAAGAAGCACCGGCUAACUACGUG